ACAGAUAACACAUAAUCCAGAUGGCUCCUUACGUGUUAAAAAUUGUCACCCCAAUUUCACUCCAAUUUGGAAAAAUAUUGGAGUGACGUUUGAAUAAUCUGAAAUUUUUAGAUUCCUUUUCUAACUUUUUUGGGAGGUUUUGCUUCUCUUGCACAGAUGUCGCUUGCACUUCAGUUGCGUGGUUGCCAAACGUUAUAUCGAAAUAUAUUUCAUUUCAUUAUGAAUAUAUAAAAUUAAAAAUUAUGUAAUUUAUAAACAUGAAAUAGAUAUGGAUGUUAGGUAAUACCGGAUGUUAAAUUAAUAUAUAAAUAUUUAACUUAAUACGUACAUUAUUUUAUUAAUUUAUCGUCACACGUCAUUUACCAGUUGCCUAAUUACGAAAAGUUUCAUAUGAUAUUAACCUCAAAAAUGAUCUUUGAAAACAAACAACAACAAAUAACUCAAAGAAAUAACUACAUACUACAUAAUAAUAACUGAUAAUAAUGACUUUUAAUGGUAUAAAGGCUGAUGAAGUUUUAGACAACCAAUACAAGAUUCAGAACUCGGCAUCGCGAUAAACAAGUAAAAUUGUACAUUCAGGAACUCGUUUAAAUAUUAUAGGUUGAUUGAAGAAUAAUCUACAAUUGAUUAGAGCCUAUGACGAUGCGAAGAUAAUUAAUCACCUAACUUUAAGAAACCAGCCUAAAGAAGUUUACAUGCAUCUCAUCUAACCAUUAUAGGUACAUUUUAUCUUCUAGAUCAGUAGUGAUUUUUCAUAAUUUGAAUGAACUCACAGAUAGCAAUGGGGCACCGCACCGAAGCAGUAUUACAAAAUGUGAAAUAAAACUGUAGUACAUAUUGCUCUAUAAAAUUUAAUAGAAAUAAAUUUAUUUAUGAAAAUUAAUGAAGUUUUAUCUUUCCUAGGAAAAAAAUAACAAUUAUAUUUUGAACAAUUAAUUUAGAACA